CGGUGGGCAGAAGGACAGCAGAGCACAGGAGCUGGUGCUCCCAGGCCCAAGCACAGGAUGAUACUGCCACUUGGGCUGCAGGGAAAAAAGACAAGCCCCCACCUUGCUCCAACCUCUUUUCAGGGAGUUGAAGAGAUCAAGAAGGUCUCCCUGCAGCUUCCUCUUCUCUAGUCUAAAACUCUCCAGUUCCUUCAGCCUUUUCAUAACCAUGAAAAGGCAAACAUGAUACAGGUUACUGUGCUUGAGAGACAAAUAUUUGACUUCCUUGGUUAUCAGUGGGCACCCAUCCUGGCAAAUUUUAUACACAUUAUCAUAGUCAUACUUGGCUUAUUUGGAACCAUCCAGUAUAGACCUCGUUACAUCACAGGAUAUGCUGUCUGGCUGGUCCUUUGGGUUACAUGGAACGUGUUUGUUAUCUGCUUCUAUUUGGAGGCUGGGGACCUUUCAAAGGAAACAGAUCUCAUUCUGACCUUUAACAUCUCAAUGCAUCGCUCUUGGUGGAUGGAGAAUGGGCCAGGAUGCACUGUGACCUCAGUAACCCCAGCACCAGACUGGGCACCAGAGGACCAUCGUUACAUCACUGUCUCGGGGUGUUUGCUUGAAUAUCAGUACAUAGAAGUGGCUCACAGUUCUCUUCAGAUCUUCCUUGCACUGGCGGGCUUCAUCUAUGCCUGUUAUGUUGUGAAAUGCAUUACUGAAGAAGAGGACAGCUUUGAUUUCAUAGGUGGCUUUGACUCUUACGGCUAUCAAGGUCCACAGAAGACAUCUCAUUUACAGCUACAGCCCAUGUAUAUUGCCAACAGUGUGCUCUAUGCUGUACAAGCCAAGAAGCCUAGACAGUCCCUUCAAAACGAGUACGCUUUUUAAGCAGAGCGGGACAGAACCGGUGCUCGUGUACCUCCUUACAGUGUGACCGCAGCUGAUGCGCUAAAAAGCAGCUUCCUGGCAUUCUGUGCGGGAGAUGCCAGUGCUCAUUUCCAGACCACGGGACAAGAACACAAUAAGAUGCUGGAAAUCAAUUGUCAAGAGAAAAUUCUGCUCUUGGGAGGUGACCGAGGAAGGUCAAAGUAAACAAAGGGGCUACUCAGUGCGGGCUGAAGAACCCGUUAAAGAAACUGUUUCAAGAUGCACCCCACCCUGGUUAUUCGAAGAGGAAAAAAAAUCCAGCUUUUGUGCUGAGAAAAACAAAACCGAAGCUGAUUGAACAGCCAGACAAAAAACCUAACAGCUUCAGCCCCUCUUUCUAACUAAGAGCUAUGUCCCAGACCCCCGCCUUGGACCUCCUGCCUCCCAACACCAGAGGACCAGAGCAGAGGCAUUGGUGCCAUCUUCUGGCUCUUCCCUCCUCCAGUCACCGCCAGCGUGGCCCAUCUGGAUUAAGACAUGAACGCAGCUCUUUCGGUGCUUUCGGAGCCCCCUCCGCACCCCUGGCCCCGUCGAGCCGCCCGAGCCGACGCAGCGCUCGGAAGGCCAGGCUGACCCUGCGGCAGCCGCCGCCCGCCCGCACCUCGGCUGCCCUGCAGGCUGUGCAGUUCAUACUUGCCUUAACCCAACUGUGCCGCACAGCAGAGGAACUCGGUGCAGGCUUUCUGAAGUAACACGCUGCUGUCAAUUGGGAGCGAUUACUGAGUCAGUGGUUUGCUGCUGGUUUUGGGGCGGGGGGUGUUUAGUUUUCGUGUCAGGGAAUAAGGGUCUGUCACUCCGCGGGUCCAGAGCGACCGUGUAGAAAACUGCCAGCUCUUGGAGAAGUGCUUUACUUUUGAGGCUCCACAGUGGUCAAGGAACAAACAGUUUAUCGUGGUUAAAAGAAAAAGAGAAGAAAGAAAUGAGACCUUUUCUUUUUUUUUUUUGGGGGGGGAAGGCAAGGGGUAACAUAAACUAAUAACUGAACCUCCUGGAACUAAGCAGCAGAAACAGCGCUUCUUAAUCCCGCUGGUUUUAUUUAUGGCACUGUAGGUGCUUUUAUAUAGCUAUCUCUAAAUGUCUUUUACUAACUACAGAGACAUCUGCAGAUUUCUAUCAACAAAGGCCAACUGAAUAUGUACUAGCUACGUUUACUCUUUUAUAGCUCAUUUCAAAUUUCUCUGUAAGUGGGCUGCUUUUCUGUUUUUUCUUCCCUUUCCUCUCUGAUUUUUUUUUUUUGUUUUUCUAAUGACACCUUAAGGGAUCAAUACAUUUUGGUUUUGUUUGGUU